CUACGGGCUGCUGCAGUGGGGAAUAUUGCACAAUGGAGGAAACCCUGAUGCAGCAACGCCGCGUGGAGGAUGACGCAUUUCGGUGUGUAAACUCCUUUUAUAUGUCAAGAAAAUGACGGUAGCAUAUGAAUAAGCACCGGCUAACUCCGUGCCAGCAGCCGCGGUAAUACGGAGGGUGCAAGCGUUACUCGGAAUCACUGGCGUAAAGGACGCGUAGGCGGGUUGGAAAGUCAGGUGUGAAAUCCUACAGCUUAACUGUAGAACUGCACUUGAAACUUCUAAUCUAGAGUAUGGGAGGGGGAGAUGGAAUUAGUGGUGUAGGGGUAAAAUCCGUAGAUAUCACUAGGAAUACCUAAAGCGGAGGCGAUCUCCUGGAACAUUACUGACGCUAAGGCGUGAAAGCGUGGGGAGCAAACAGGAUUAGAUACCCCGGUAGUC
rnacentral:rRNA from 1 species